rnacentral:rRNA from 1 species
UACGUAGGGUGCGAGCGUUAAUCGGAAUUACUGGGCGUAAAGUGUGCGCAGGCGGCCGAGCAAGUCGAGUGUGAAAGCCCCGAGCUUAACUUGGGAACUGCGCUCGAAACUACUUGGCUAGAGUGUGGCAGAGGGAGGUGGAAUUCCCAGUGUAGCGGUGAAAUGCGUAGAUAUUGGGAGGAACACCGGUGGCGAAGGCGGCUAUCUGGACCGGUACUGACGCUGAGACGCGAAAGCCAGGGGAGGAAACGGG